CUGGAACGAAAAGCCCGCAGUCACCUUCUGCAGAACCAAAUGCGCCGCGUGUUUUCUUCAGCGCCAAGGCGGUACGUGCGCCAUGCCUCGUACGCGGCUGGUCUUUUCAACUUUCGCGUCGUUCCCGAAGAGCUCUUCCCGUAUCCUUCCCGGAAGCUGGACAGUGACGAGUCCGAAACUGUGCAGGCGCUCAUUGAGCAGAUCCGUAGCAGUGACAAGGACCUGAACCUCGCAGGCGCUCGAAUCGCCACUGAGUACGGCGGACUGGGGCUAGGGCACACAGCGCACGCUCUCGUCUGUGAGGAGAUAGGCACCAGUGGCGACAGCAAGCUGCUGCAGACGAUUCAGCACUGUGGCUUCGCGUCUUAUUUGCUGUCCACCGUAGGAUCGAAGGAAGUGAAAGGGAAGUAUCUUACCGGCAUGUCCGAUGGCAAGAUUAUGAUGGGAUGGGCCACACGGGAGGGCUGUGGCAACGACAUUAGCAUGAACACUGCCAAGGCUUCGCUCACAAGCGACGGCAGGUACGUACUCACAGGGUGCAAACGAUGCGAGUUCGCUGAGGGUGCGACGCACUAUCUGGUACUGGCCAAGGCGCUGACUCAGACCGCGACGGAGGCGGGGCCGAUGGAGGUUUCGCGGAACACCUUCUUUAUCUUGGAGAAGAACGCAAAAGGAGUGAGUGUGAAUGGGGGAACCGUUCGCUUUGAAGACACUCCCGCUGCUGACGUAGUUGGCGUAGUUGGGGAAGGGUUCAAGGAUCGCAUGAUCACGUUGUUCACUGAGCAGUACGUCUACGCGGCCGCGCUUCUCGGCAUUUCGAAGCGGGUCGUGCAAGAGCUGCGGGACAGUGUACCGGAACAGUGGGCUGCUGACACGGUCGCGUCGUGCGCGUGCAUCAUGUAUGCCAUGGAGUCCUCUCUCUACGCUCUAACUGCCAACCUAGAUUUGCCCACCGAAGACAGCUUGCUGGAGGCGGCUCUAGUUAGUGUAUUCGUGCAGAGCAGCACGAAUGAGUGGCUCAGCAUUCUGUCGACAGCAACCCCCAUGAGCGAGGUGCUGGAAAAGUGCUUUGCAAACGCGCGUCUUCUGUUGUCCAUGAUGGAGUCCGUAGAUUUUCUCUACUCAUCUGCCGUCUGCUGCGGAGUUGAGGACUACGGUCUUGUCUUUCAGCGCACGUCUACGUUGCAGAUGGUGCAGCUUCGGACAAUGCGGUCGAUGGGCAUGAAGGAUCGCGUGCCGGUGCGGGAACUGGACUGCUCCGCCAUCGAUUCUGCUGUGGUUGCCUUUGGUAACGCUGUGGAGGCCACCUUUGUCCGUAAUGGCUCACAGGUGCCUCAACAACAGCUCAUCAUUAACCGCCUUGGUGAGGCAGCGUCCUUGCUCUACGCCGCCUCUGCGAGUGCGUCGCGAGCAGCCAUGUGCCAGAGCAAGCGCCUGCCAACUGCGAAAACUGAAAGGGAACUGGCAAGCGCUUUUAUCGCCAUGGCCACCAACCGCGCGAUUCAGCUCUCUGAGGAGUCCUACAACAUCGGAAUGACUGCAGAUGACUCCUACAAGCGGAUUGCGGUGGAGAUGUGUGAUGAGGCGUUGCGGUCGUAGGGGGAAGCACGGCCUGACACGGGCCGGAGUCUCUUAUAACCGUACCGCGCGGGAUCUGCCUUUUUUUUUCUGUUUCCGCAACUACUGGUACACACAGACACACUGAAUCAAAGAGCAGCACAUUGCAACAGCGCGAAAAUGAAGAGAAGUUGUGCGGCAGAGGGCUUGCCAGCGGUCGAGAUGGUGCAAUUACAUGUUGUGCGCGUGCGUGUGUGUGUGUGUGCCCCAGUUCUCAGUAUAAGCGUGUUUCUCGUUCGCUUUGCAUGCUGGGGCGAGUAGUAGUAGUUGUGCAUCACAAACAACUGUCGUGGCUAACUUUUAAGCACUAACGCGACUCUCAUUAUUUUUCUUCCUUCCCGUGUCUCGCUUGUGACCGUGUCAUCAUCCUUUUCCCCGUAAAGAGCCAUUGCCGUGCAGAGGAUGACGCACGCGUUCGUGUGAUGAGCUGCUAGAAUGAGCCGGGAAUGCAUGGCGGGCGGAGUACGGCUCGUUUCUCGACGGUGACAACGGGGCGGGCGAAUUGCGGACAACCCACAGUGAAGGAAG
rnacentral:misc_RNA from 1 species